rnacentral:pre_miRNA from 1 species
UUAGUACUCCCUUCGUUCAACAAAAGAUGUCUCAAGUUUGUUAAAAUUUGAAUGUAUCUAGACAUGACUUAGUAUAUAGAUGCAUACAAAUUUAAUCAAAGUUCACUUAUCUUUGUUGGACGGAGGAAGUAGUCA